CCUACGGGUGGCAGCAGUGAGGAAUAUUGGUCAAUGGACGAGAGUCUGAACCAGCCAAGUAGCGUGAAGGAUGACUGCCCUAUGGGUUGUAAACUUCUUUUAUAUGGGAAUAAAAUGUUCCACGUGUGGGAUUUUGUAUGUACCAUAUGAAUAAGGAUCGGCUAACUCCGUGCCAGCAGCCGCGGUAAUACGGAGGAUCCGAGCGUUAUCCGGAUUUAUUGGGUUUAAAGGGAGCGUAGGUGGAUUGUUAAGUCAGUUGUGAAAGUUUGCGGCUCAACCGUAAAAUUGCAGUUGAAACUGGCAGUCUUGUGUACAGUAGAGGUGGGCGGAAUUCGUGGUGUAGCGGUGAAAUGCUUAGAUAUCACGAAGAACUCCGAUUGCGAAGGCAGUUCACUGGACUGCAACUGACACUGAGGCUCGAAAGUGUGGGUAUCAAACAGGAUUAGAUACCCUAGUAGUC
rnacentral:rRNA from 1 species